rnacentral:rRNA from 1 species
GAUGAACGCUGGCGGCGUGCCUAAUACAUGCAAGUCGAGCGAACAGAUAAGGAGCUUGCUCCUUUGACGUUAGCGGCGGACGGGUGAGUAACACGUGGGUAACCUACCUAUAAGACUGGGAUAACUUCGGGAAACCGGAGCUAAUACCGGAUAACAUUUGGAACCGCAUGGUUCUAAAGUGAAAGAUGGUUUUGCUAUCACUUAUAGAUGGACCCGCGCCGUAUUAGCUAGUUGGUAAGGUAACGGCUUACCAAGGCAACGAUACGUAGCCGACCUGAGAGGGUGAUCGGCCACACUGGAACUGAGACACGGUCCAGACUCCUACGGGAGGCAGCAGUAGGGAAUCUUCCGCAAUGGGCGAAAGCCUGACGGAGCAACGCCGCGUGAGUGAUGAAGGGUUUCGGCUCGUAAAACUCUGUUAUUAGGGAAGAACAAACGUGUAAGUAACUGUGCACGUCUUGACGGUACCUAAUCAGAAAGCCACGGCUAACUACAUG